rnacentral:rRNA from 1 species
AGAGUUUGAUCCUGGCUCAGGACGAACGCUGGCGGCGUGCCUAACACAUGCAAGUCGAGCGAUGAAGUUCCUUCGGGAACGGAUUAGCGGCGGACGGGUGAGUAACACGUGGGUAACCUGCCUCAAAGAGGGGGAUAGCCUCCCGAAAGGGAGAUUAAUACCGCAUAACAUUAUCUUCUCGCAUGAGAAGAUAAUCAAAGGAGCAAUCCGCUUUGAGAUGGACCCGCGGCGCAUUAGCUAGUUGGUGAGGUAACGGCUCACCAAGGCGACGAUGCGUAGCCGACCUGAGAGGGUGAUCGGCCACAUUGGAACUGAGACACGGUCCAGACUCCUACGGGAGGCAGCAGUGGGGAAUAUUGCGCAAUGGGGGAAACCCUGACGCAGCAACGCCGCGUGAGUGAUGAAGGUCUUCGGAUUGUAAAGCUCUGUCUUUGGGGACGAUAAUGACGGUACCCAAGGAGGAAGCCCCGGCUAACUACGUGCCAGCAGCCGCGGUAAUACGUAGGGGGCAAGCGUUGUCCGGAAUUAUUGGGCGUAAAGGGCGCGUAGGCGGGUAUUUAAGUCCGGUGUGAAAGAUCAGGGCUCAACCCUGAGAGUGCAUCGGAAACUGGGUAUCUUGAGGACAGGAGAGGAAAGUGGAAUUCCUAGUGUAGCGGUGAAAUGCGUAGAUAUUAGGAGGAACACCAGUGGCGAAGGCGACUUUCUGGACUGUAACUGACGCUGAGGCGCGAAAGCGUGGGGAGCAAACAGGAUUAGAUACCCUGGUAGUCCACGCUGUAAACGAUGAGUGCUAGGUGUAGAGGGUAUCGACCCCUUCUGUGUGCCGCAGUUAACACAAUAAGCACUCCGCCUGGGGAGUACGGCCGCAAGGUUGAAACUCAAAGGAAUUGACGGGGGCCCGCACAAGCGGUGGAGCAUGUGGUUUAAUUCGACGCAACGCGAAGAACCUUACCAGGGCUUGACAUCCUACGAACUCUUUGGAAACAGAGAGGUGCCCUGGGGAGCGUAGAGACAGGUGGUGCAUGGUUGUCGUCAGCUCGUGUCGUGAGAUGUUGGGUUAAGUCCCGCAACGAGCGCAACCCCUGUGUUUAGUUGCUAACGAGUAAGGUUGAGCACUCUAGACAGACUGCCGGUGAUAAACCGGAGGAAGGUGGGGAUGACGUCAAAUCAUCAUGCCCCUUAUGUCUUGGGCUACACACGCGCUACAAUGGUCUGUACAAAGGGAAGCGAAGUCGCGAGGCAGAGCGGAUCCCAUAAAACAGAUCUCAGUUCAGAUUGCAGGCUGAAACUCGCCUGCAUGAAGUCGGAGUUGCUAGUAAUCGCGGAUCAGAACGCCGCGGUGAAUGCGUUCCCGGGCCUUGUACACACCGCCCGUCACACCACGAAAGUCUGCAACACCCGAAGUCGGUGAGCUAACCGCAAGGAAGCAGCCGCCUAAGGUGGGGCCGAUAAUUGGGGUGAAGUCGUAACAAGGUAACC